GGUAAAUUUCUGGACAUAUAUAUUAUAUCUAUAUGUCCUUUCUACGAGGACAUAAAAUGCAUCCCUAUUUUCUAUCUACCAUUUUGUAACCCUUUGCAGAAUGGUCUGGGGAGGUUCGCAACAUUGUCUACUCAUCUGAUCGGAAAUCUGUAUAUGUUGUCGAUCGUGUGACUCUAUGGAACUGAUGGGGAGGUCCCACUAUUUGAUUAGUGGACGCAACUGAUGGGGGCAUGGAGAUGAUGGCAAGGCAUCACGCUGUGGUGGUGGCGAGGGGGCCAUCGAUGAAGGCGGCGAUGACAGGGGCUGCCUACAAAAGCGGUGCAUGGACGGGGGAGGUGAAGUGGCGAGGGCUGGGAAGGUGGAGAACGACAAUCGGGGGAGAUGGAGUGGUGGCAAGAUUGGACGAGCUCACCUCCGGAGUGUGUGGGCAAGAUUUCCUUUUCGGGUCGGCCGGCUUUUUUUUAAAGCAUGUGCAUGCAUGAGUUGGGGCUUAUUUCCAGCGGUGAACAUGCAUGGGUAAAACCGUUUUCUUUUGCGAAAGGGGAGGGGAGACAAAAAACGGAGGUGGGAGGGGGAGCCGUACAUGGUGGGAGGGGUGGAAACCCUGGAAGCUGGGCCUGGGAUGAUCAGGCUGUCAUGAACUGAAGUUAUUUGUUUAUAGUGUCACAAGUGUGUAUUGUAUAAUUGUUUAUAUAUUUGUCGUAUAUUUUAUUGAAUUUAGGUGUGUGUGCAAGGUUUUCAUACCUUGAAAUUAUGAA